rnacentral:lncRNA from 1 species
GUUAUAAUUAACAUCAUUGAUUCCUAAAUGUUUUAAAUACAGGUAAGAUUUCUCCAUCCAACAGAGGAUUACUGGGACUACUACCUCUCCCAAAUGCAUGCUCAGAAUUCUUCCUAAUCCCACCUCCUAGUAUUAAGGAAACAAACUUCAGAAGCAACAAAAGCAGCUUCCAUUCAGGAAUCUGUUGGGAUAGAGUCUGCAGCCAAAACAAAUAUGGAUUGAAGAGGAACCUUCUGCUUGAAGCAAGUCAGAUUCUGGAUAACCAACAGAGAUUGGUCUACUGGAAAGUUUUAAGAAAAGAAGACCAUCAUCUCAGGCUACUCUCUUCCCCUGCCCCCAUACCACUGAGACUGCUCAAUCAAUCUUUGGCAGUGCUAAGUACUAGAAUCUUCCACGGUCAACAUCUAAAGUUCUUCCACAAUCCAAAGAGAAUACCCAAAAGAAGGUAA